AUCGACACAAAUGAUAUCGAAUGAUCCAUGUAACCGAUCUAACCUUGUAAGAUAAAACUUUUGUUCUCCUUUUGGUUGGCUAGACAAGCAUUGUCUAGUUUCCAAUUGAAUCUUAAGUUCUACUCAAUAUUUGAAAUGCUUGUUACAGUGUAGAAAAAUGAAGGAAAAGGUAGCUACCUGGUUUGCAAAACCAACUCCAACUCCAAGCAAAAGUCUACCAACUAUGAGCAUGUACACAUUAAAAGCUGCACCUCCAAGAGCUGUACCAGCCAGAAAGGCGGCGCCGCCGGCCACCAUAGAUGGUUUGCGGCCAAAGGCUUUGGUGAUAUAAGAAGCAAAGAAGGAAGUAACAAGACCAGCAAUAUAGAGAGAGGAUGUAAAAGAGGUCAAUAGUUGGCUGUCAAAUACACAGUAGUUGCUGACCUUGGCAUCUUCUUUCUUAAGGUACACUUUGUGGAAGAACUUCUUCAGAAAUGAGUCCAUUGAGGUCACCCCUCCUGCUGUUCCAAUGUCAUAGCCAAAGAUGACACCUCCCAUGCCAGCCAUCAUACAAGACAGCACAACAUACAGGGUUAUCUUACCAUUCCUUUGGCCAUUUUCACUUGCUAUAGCAAAACCAACAGCCAUUAAUAGCUUUUUCUUUAUACACAGAUAAAAACUUAAGAGAGAUUGAUUGAGGUUUCAUAUAUGGUUCAUGAUAAUUGAGAAGCAAGUAGUGCUUCUUGACUUGUGUAGUCAACCAAACUAAAGUACAGUACACUGGUUUGAAUUUUCAACAACAUAGCUGUCACUGCUUAAAUUUGGUUGGAUAAAAUUAUGUUUUUUUUCUUCUAGAAAUAUAGGAAGAAAAUUGUAUAAAACAACUUUUUUAACUAUUAGGAAGUGAAAAUUAAACCCAGUUCAAGUUCACAAAUUUGAUCUUAUUUCUAGUCUUCUAACACCAGUAAGAAAUGUCAAACUUGGAUUGCCUUUAUGAUAGGAUAAGCUUUUAUGUGCUGUGAGAGAAAUGUAACCAUAUGCUUAAUGACAAAAUCAACAGCAUAAAUGGUGACUUUUUUCCUUAAAGUAAAUAUAAAAUACAAAAUUUUAAUACAAAGAACUGAUAUGAGAUAACAUAUGGUGUUGGAAUGUGCAUAUAUAGUGUGAGUCAAUUCAAAUUUAGUGAAGGACUUGACCAAGUGCAGCUUUUCUUGACUAAUUCUGUAUACAUCAAUACAGUUAAAUUUUUUGGCCACUUUGUAUAAUGUUUUUGGAUAAAUAUUUGGAGGAGAAAAAUAAGAGUGAAAUAAGAUUUUCUCAGAAGAUAAGAUUGGAUUUUGAAGAAGGUAAAGGAAUUUUUUUUUAUGAAUUUCUUGGCAAUUGUCAUCAAUUUUUAACACAGUUUACAUUCAACUUGUUUCAAUGUUCUUUUCUUAUAUAUUACAUAAAAAAGUUGUUUUUAAUAUAGUGACAGUUUUUAACUGUUACUAUUAGUAAAUUUUAUUUUAUUUACUAACCAUCCACAGAAUCUUUCACACAGUCGCAAUAAAGAUACAAAUUUAAAAUAAGAUUUAUUAAUAAUGAUAUUUAAAAUUCCUCGUUAUAUUAUUUUAAACACUUAUAUUUAUGUUAAUUUCAUUCUGAGCUUAACAUAAGUAUAAUAAAAAGAAAAUUUUCACAACAUUAUGAAAACAAAAAUGUGUCAAAUAGAAGUUAUAAAUAAAGCAAGAAAAAAAGUUAAGAGUAAAAAAAAUACAAGUAAACAAAUAAUUUAUUCAAGUGUACUUUUUAAUAAAUAUUUAUUCAAAAGUUUAUUUAACCAUAGUCUUUGUCUUUAGUACUAUGAGUCAAAUUGCUGCCACUAAUUUUGAAUGUCACUUUCUUUGGUCUCUCACGUGCGUAUAAAGUUGAAGUUGCACAUGAGCUGUGUACACACGUGUGGGCACUUUCUAAUACAGAAUUGUUGCUUUCUUAGACAACUCUUUUUCUGCAACUGAUUUUCUUGUCAUCAUCUCCAUUUCUUCAGGAAGUGAUGCAAACAUUGCUUGUUACAGAAAGUUAAUUGCUUAAACAUUUCCACAAGGCAACUCAGAAGCAAAGUAAAUAAAUAAAAGCAUGAGUAUCAGUUAAGCAUAAAGCUUCUGUCAAGUGUUUCAAUUCUGCAUAAUGACUUCAAAAUCUUCUCUCUAGUUAGCAUCAAAUUAUUUGUAAAAGGAUGGUACUGCUUCAUAUCGUCUAAGAUGCAAGAUUAGGGAAAAAUCAUUGUUUUUGUCAUAAACUACUAUUAGUCUUUGUUUGUUUAAAUGAAAAUACUAUUACAAGAGAUGAUGUACAAUGAUAUCCAUUAUUGGAUCAAGUGAUGUGCAUGAAAGUGUGAGGAAAGAUAUCCACAUGAACGUUAUUGGAUCAAGUGAUGUGCAUGAAAGUGCACUUUUUUCACAUUUUUCACUCAAAUCCUUACACAGCCACUUUCUCAAAUUCCCGCACAUCCCCUCUCCAAUCUAAACACACAUAAGAAAAAUCUCCUUUCCAAUCCAGACACAAAUAAGAAAAAUAGUGAGAAUUUUUAAACCACCUUGAUUCUAUCGACAUUUGAUACUUUCAUGUUUGAAAUUGAUCUUCAAUUCAUUCCACUCGCCAUAGCUUCUUCAGUCAAGUAAGAGGUAUAGUUAUUUUUUCUUGUUAUAAAUUUCAUUACACAUUACCAUAAAAAUUGAAAUCUCAGCUAGCUAGUUGACACCUGACACCUUAUAUUUCAAUAAUAAGAGGUAUAGUUUAAGAUGGGAGAAAACUCUUUAAAUAAUUUGAAUUGCAUGUGCCAUCCUUUCAAGUAAAAAGGUACAAGAAACUAAGCUUUUCUCUCAAGUAAUAUGGCUAAGUCUAGAUGCAUUCAAGUUCUACAUCUUGCUCUUUGGCAGUUUAUCCAUGGACUCUAGUUUUCUGAUGGUUGAUUUUUUCUGUCUCUUCCAAAUAUUGCUAAUCAGUUUGUAUGUUUAGAAUCUAGCUUUCCAAACUGAAAACCAUUUUAUUGCUUUUACAGUCAAGGUAAUGUCAUACAGACAAAUGUUUAAGCUAACAUAGGUAGAAAUUGAUUUAGAACUUUCUUGAAGUAUCAUAUUCAUUUCUCAUCUCUAUCACUUAUUUCACUCACUAUUCUCUUCCAAAACCAAUGAUCUUGCCACACUUUCUCCAUCUGUUCAAGUGGCACACUUUUGGUCUCUGGCAGGAAAUAGUACACAAAUAUAGUCAUCACCACCACCCAUCCUCCAAAGAAGAAGAAAAUCCCAUACUUGAAGUGGCAAAGCAUGGACAGAAAAGUCUGUGCAACAGUGAAAGUGAAGAUAAAGCUCACUGCCACUGUGAUGCUUUGCCCCACUGAUCUAAUUUCGAGAGGAAAAAUCUCACUUGGUACUAACCAACCCAGUGGCCCCCAUGACCACCCAAACCCAGCAACAUAUAUGAGUAUCAUAACCAAAACAACACAAGCAUAACCUUGGCUUAAUCCACCAUGAUCUCUCAGAUGAAAGGCCAUUAUGCCACCAACUAUACACUGUGAUGCAAACAUUUGAAUGCCCCCAAUAAUAAACAAGGUUCUCCUUCCAAGUUUAUCAACUAUGAACAUUGAUAUGAAUGUUGAGCCAGUACCUACAACUCCUGUCACCACAGCUGACAACAGGGAUGCACUUUCUCCUAACCCAAUUGUCCUAAAGAGUAAAGGGGCAUAGAAACCAAUGACAUUGAUCCCUGUAAAUUGCUGGAAAAAUGGUAUAACUACUGCCAUCACCAGCUGAGGCCUAUACCUUGGUUUCAAAAUUAUCUUAAGUGAUUGUUUGUUGUUGGUUUUUGAAGAACUUGCUUUGAUAAGAUCAUCAAAUUCUGCUUCCACAUCUUCUGUGCCUCGAAUUCUCUGAAGCAGUAACUUGGCCUUUUGAUGGUCAUGGCUGCGCUGGAUUAAGCUGUUGGGAGUUUCAGGGAGGAAAAGUGCACCUAGUGUUAGGAAUGAGGCUGGUACUGCUGCCAGGGCUAGCGACACACGCCAUCCCCAGCCACCUUCAAUCUUCUCUGCUCCAUAGUUGAUUAGAUUAGCACACACAAUACCAAUGCAAAUGCUUAAUUGGAAGCCAUUGCUAAUUGCUCCUCUUAGUCUUGGUAGUGCCAUUUCAGAUAGAUACAAUGGAACAGCCUACAGAAGCAGUACACAAUUUGAAAGAAAUUAGUGUCUUGUGUUUUGUUUUGGCUCCUCUAAAGUUUUUUUUUUAUCAACAAAGAAUAAAUAAAAUAAAAGCAGUUACUUUAGGAUUUAGGAGUGUCCAAACUCUUAUACAAAUAAUUUCAACACAAGCUUCUUAUCAGGUAACCAGUUGGGAUCCAAUGUCUUGGUUACUUGGUUCCUCUAAAGUAAGAAAUGAUAAAUUAACUAAUUUUACUCAAUAUUUGAAAUGCUUGUUACAGUGUAGAAAAAUGAAGGAAAAGGCAGCUACCUGGUUUGCAAAUCCAACUCCAACUCCAAGCAAAAGUCUACCAACUAUGAGCAUGUACACAUUAAAAGCUGCACCUCCAAGAGCUGUACCAGCCAGGAAGGCGGCGCCGCCGGCUACUAUGGAUGGUUUGCGGCCAAAGGCUUUGGUGACAUGAGAAGCAAAGAAGGUAGUAACAAGACCAGCAAUAUAGAGAGAGGAUGUAAAAGAUGUCAAUAGCUGGCUAUCAAAUACACAGU
rnacentral:lncRNA from 1 species